UACUUCUAGGGUUUGUUUCCGGUUAGCUACGUGGGUUAAGUUUAGCUUUCAUGGGUUAACUUCGACAAAUAUAGCCUUAUAUAUUAUUCGAGCUUGUCCACAAAUUUGGGUAACUGGGUAGGGUUUCUCAAAGGUCAGUUUUGGGUUGCUUGUAUGGAAAACUGUGUUUCAAAAGGUUCUGUAGGGUUGUAUUGUGUUUCUUUAAUCAAAGAUCGUCUUUCCGAAAGUUUAGUAGGUGAUCUGUUCAUUCUUGUUUGUGUUUCUUUUUUUUUGUUGGCUUUGUGUAGGAUUGAGUUUUGGUUCUUGGUCUUGUGCAAGUAUAGAUUGUAAGUCUUUGGAUCUUGGUUUUUUGAUACAUGCGGAUACUUUCUUGCGUUUUGAAAGUGAGAAGCUCGAUUUUGUUUGUGUUUCUUUUUUUUGUUGGCUUUGUGUAGGAUUGAGUUUGGGUUCUUGGUCUUGUGUAAGUAUAGAUUGUAAGUCUUUGGAUCUUGGUUUUUUGAUACAUGCUGAUACUUUCUUGCGUUUUGAAAGUGAGAAGCUCGAUUUUGUUUGUGUUUCUUUUUUUUGUUGGCUUUGUGUAGGAUUGUGUUUUGGUUCUUGGUCUUGUGUAAGUAUAGAUUGUAAGUUCUUGGAUCUUGGUUUUUUGAUACAUGCGGAAACUUUUUUGCGUUUUGAAACUGAGAAAUUAUGUACAAUAUAUGGAUAUAUAAGCAUCUGUAUGUAGUAGGGUUGUACAGAUUGUUUUCGUGAGAGAGGAUGUAGAGGAUGGAUCUGCUAGAUUCGGUAGACGGGUAUGCUUCUGUCUGUCUUGUGGUAAGCUUCUUAGAUUCUGUUGCUGACGUCCUGCGUCAUAUACAAGUUAUUGACGUAAUUAGGGCUUCUGAUCAUGGUUUCUCCCCUGAUCUAUUUUUUUUCUUAGUUCUGGAAAUGUAUAUAGAUGAGUAUAUAUAUAUAUAUGUAUUGUGCUAACGGUUAGGAUUUUACUUAUUCUCAUCCGGGUCCAUGGAACCAUUUAAGAGCAUACUGUGAGACAAGCCAAUGAAGUGAUUGGAUCAGUUAAGUGAAAUCCAAUGAUGGAUCCAAGUCUGGUUAAGUUCUGUAAUUUACUAUGUUGGGUAUUUUAAGCGUUAAAAGAAAGAGGUUAAGUGUAGAGCUCCUUGAAGUCCAAUAGAGGAUUUUGCAGGGUUGAUUGAGCUGCCGAGCUAUGGAUUCCACAGCCCUACCCGAAGUUAUACUUUUUCUGGGUAGGCUUGCGGUUUGCAUAUCUCAGGAGCUGCAUUACCCUAAGCUUAAUCCUUGUUUGGAUUGAAGGGAGCUCUACACCUCGCUCUUUCUCUAUAUUAAUCUUCACUUUCUAACCAUUUAAGCUCAUACAUAUAUGUCUGCACGUACACAUGAAACUUUAUACAUCUGACUUUUUCGUUAGAUGUUUCGGGGUAUCGUUUAUUGCAUCUUUUUAUUAUGUCUCUAGAUCAGUACUGCAGAUUCUUUGACGUAAAUAAGGUAUGCCGAGUGCUGAAGAUCAUCAAGAAUGUUCUGAGAGAUGAUUGUCUCAGGAAUGCUCGAUUUACAGGCUUUUUGGCUGGAAGAAUUUUUAAGCUUUUUAGAAGUGUAUUUGCUGGGAUAAUUUAUUUAUAUUCUCUACUCAAAGUAUAGAAAUCAAAGUUUCGAAUGAGAUCUUUCAGUUCAUUGUUCUUAAAGAUUUUCAACUUGUUUGUAAGGGUUAUAUUGUUAAUGGCAUUUAUUUUAUUUUUAAUUUAUACAAAUUAAUAUAUAAAUUAUAACUAAAAUAACUCUUCAAAGUAGAAGUGCGUAUCUCGGAAUUUCAAAUGUUAAUCAUCUAAUUAACUAAUAUCUAAAAUGCUUCGGAAAGAGUUUUAUAAGUCUGGUAAUUGACUAAUGAUUUCAUGUGGGUUAUUUAAAAGUUUAUCGCAAUAAUCAUAAGCGCCUGUAAUAACUGUUACACUCAAUGGUUACUGAGUGCUUUUUACCCACCUGUGACAGUUUCAUGAGUAUCCAUUUAAGCCGAAAUCAGUAUCUGAAAAGN
rnacentral:lncRNA from 1 species